ensembl:lncRNA
GGCAGUGCCUGGCGCACAGGGAGCCGCCCUAACUGGCCAUUGUUCCCGUUAUUAACAUAUCAUGGAGGGUCCUGCUGGGGAGCGAGGGAGCUGUGAUUGUGGUGACAGCAGCUCGCACUGGGAGACUGGUGACCUGCCUUGGCCUGUCUCCACCCUUAGCACAGGAGGAGGAACACUGCCUGCAGCUUGACUGGAGUGGGUUAGAGUGUAAUCCCUUCCUGCUGGGCUGGGCUGGGCGCUCUCGGAAAGGGCCCCUCUGGAGCUGUCUGGAGGACGGGGGAAAGUGGAAGGAGAGUCUGAUAGCGCAGGCCGACAGCGGCCCUGGAAGGCUUCUCCCUUGAGGCCCGCGCUCUGGCGGCAGCGACAAGGCCUGAGGAUGAGCACACACGGAGGGGGCUGGCUCGGCCUCGGGCGCCCAGUGGGUGCGGUGGAGCAGGGCAGGAUGCCGGCCUCAGCACUCUGCCUCCCGUUCCAGGCUGUGUGGCAGCCCAGUGGGCAGGGGGCUUCCCCACGGUGGGCCUGGAACCCAGAGAGGUUAGGCAAGCUGUGCAAGGCCAGCGGAGGGAUGCCGGCUUUCAGAGUCGCGGCUGCCCCCUUUCCCCUCAGGGCUCUGUGUGUGAGGCAGUGAAUCACCCGCGGGACGCGGAAGGAGCAGCGUGCGCUCCUGUUUCUGUCUCCCAGGGUGAGGGACACGCUCCCCUCCUCCCCUUCAUCUCCCGGGACGGGUUUGCUGCGUGGGAGGAAGAGCGUGGGCUCAGUUUAUGGCGUGGUUUUGCUGGGAUUGUCUCCUGCUGGCGAGAGGAGCCGGCGGCAGGCGUGGAUUUCUGCUCGCCCUGUGUCCGGAGGCCAGGCCAACUUCCGACGACUGCUUGUACGGAUAAUAUGGCUGCUGUGGCGAGGCCAUGGGGCUGUCCUGUGGGACGGGUCUCUUGUCCGUCGGUUCCCCGCACCCCCCGCCCCCAGUCCCGGUCCCAACUGACAGCUCCUUGAGGGCGGGGCCUGUGUCUGAUUCAUCCUAACCCCAGGCCAAGCCCUCAGCGUGCGGCAGACCUGACCCCCAUAGCUCCUUGGCAUGCGCCGUCCCACGCCCACCCGGUCCUCUCUCCCGCGGGCCUUGUCCUAGUAGGUGUGGGCUUGGCCUGCAGGGUGCAGGGCAGCCCAUGAGUGCUGGGGAGGCAGUGCCCCAGGAGCCAAGGAUGGACUGGAGCCGGUCUGCGCGCCCUCCAGCCUGCUCCCCGACAGGGGUCAACUAGGACCCGUUCUGACCAUCUCUCUGGCAGCCCUCAGCAGCAAGCCACUUAUCACCACACUGCUCUGGCUGUCGUCCCCUCCUGUCUGCGUCCCCACUCCCACGGCAGUGCUUCCCAGGGUCACCUCCCACAUGACCUGCUUGCGUCCCAAUCCUCAACCUCGGGGUCUGGUCUGUGGAAGCUGCUGAAUGCUGGGGAUGAAUGCACAACUCCAUGGAUGGGCAUCAUGCAGAAGCCCGCUCUGGGGGCAGGUGAAGGAGGUCCCGUCCUGACCACGAGGUGCUCUGCGGCCUGGGAGGCUCCCUAGCCGGCUCUCGCGGAUGGUCGCGCACAGAUGCAGAGGAGUCUUCUCGCCAUUCCCAGCAGCCAUAGCGUUUGGCUGCAACUGGUCUCCAUCUCUUCUCCCCACUUUCUCCUUUCCUCCCUUCUUUCCUCUUUCCUUCCUUCCUUUUCCCUUCCCGUCUUCCUUCAUUCCUUUCUCUUAAAGAACAAGGAAAGAAAAGGAACAUAGCA